GUCUACGGCCAUACCACCCUGAACACGUCUGAUCUCGUCUCGUCGAUCUCGGAAGCUAAGCAGGGUUGGGCCUGGUUAGUACUUGGCUGGGAGACUGCCUGAGAAUACCGGGUGCUGUAGGCU